AUUGAACGCUGGCGGAAUGCUUUACACAUGCAAGUCGAACGGCAGCACGGACUUCGGUCUGGUGGCGAGUGGCGAACGGGUGAGUAAUGUAUCGGAACGUGCCCAGUCGUGGGGGAUAACGUAGUGAAAAUUACGCUAAUACCGCAUACGAUCUAUGGAUGAAAGCGGGGGAUCGCAAGACCUCGCGCGAUUGAAGCGGCCGAUAUCAGAUUAGGUAGUUGGUGGGGUAAAGGCCCACCAAGCUAACGAUCUGUAGCUGGUCUGAGAGGACGACCAGCCACACUGGAACUGAGACCGGGUCCAGACUCCUACGGGAGGCAGCAGUGGGGAAUUUUGGACAAUGGGCGAAAGCCUGAUCCAGCCAUUCCGCGUGCAGGAUGAAGGCCCUCGGGUUGUAAACUGCUUUUGUACAGAACGAAAAGGUUUCUACUAAUACUAGGAGCUCAUGACGGUACUGUAAGAAUAAGCACCGGCUAACUACGUGCCAGCAGCCGCCGUAA
rnacentral:rRNA from 1 species